AAGCCCGGAGAGAGAAGCAGGGUCUGAUCCACAGCCUCCAUGGCAGUUGCUGAUCAACCCUUGCCUCUCUCUCUCUCUAUC
rfam:Myotis lucifugus cont2.38251, whole genome shotgun sequence.